rnacentral:rRNA from 2 species
UGUGACCUCAAAUCAGGUAGGACUACCCGCUGAACUUAAGCAUAUCAAUAAGCGGAGGAAAAGAAACUAACAAGGAUUCCCCUAGUAACUGCGAGUGAAGCGGGAAAAGCUCAAAUUUAAAAUCUGUCAGUCUUUGGCUGCCCGAGUUGUAAUCUAGAGAAGUGUUAUCCGCGCUGGACCGUGUACAAGUCUCCUGGAAUGGAGCGUCAUAGAGGGUGAGAAUCCCGUCUUUGACACGGACUGCCAGGGCUUUGUGAUGCGCUCUCAAAGAGUCGAGUUGUUUGGGAAUGCAGCUCAAAAUGGGUGGUAAAUUCCAUCUAAAGCUAAAUAUUGGCGAGAGACCGAUAGCGAACAAGUACCGUGAGGGAAAGAUGAAAAGAACUUUGGAAAGAGAGUUAAACAGUACGUGAAAUUGCUGAAAGGGAAACGCUUGAAGUCAGUCGCGUUGGCCAGGGAUCAACCUUGCUUUUGCUUGGUGUACUUUCUGGUUGACGGGUCAGCAUCAAUUUUGACUGUUGGAAAAAGAUCAAGGGAAUGUGGCAUCUUCGGAUGUGUUAUAGCCCAUGGUUGCAUACAAUGGUUGGGAUUGAGGAACUCAGCACGCCGCAAGGCCGAG